rnacentral:rRNA from 1 species
AGAGUUGAUCCUGGCUCGAGAACGAACGCUGGCGGCAGGCCUAACACAUGCAAGUCCGAGCGCGCCCUUCGGGGUGAGCGGCGGACGGUUAGUAACGCGUGGGAACGUACCCUUUGGUAGGGAAUAGCCACUGGAAACGGUGAGUAAUACCCUAUGAGCCCUUCGGGGGAAAGAUUUAUCGCCAAAGGAUCGGCCCGCGUUAGAUUAGGUAGUUGUGGGGUAAUGGCCUACCAAGCCUACGAUCUAUAGCUGGUUUUAGAGGAUGAUCAGCAACACUGGGACUGAGACACGGCCCAGACUCCUACGGGAGGCAGCAGUGGGGAAUCUUGGACAAUGGGGGCAACCCUGAAUCCAGCCAUGCCGCGUGAGUGAAGAAGGCCUUAGGGUCGUAAAGCUCUUUCGCCUGUGAAGAUAAUGACGGUAGCAGGUAAAGAAACCCCGGCUAACUCCGUGCCAGCCGCAGC